GACGAACGCUGGCGGCGUGCUUAACACAUGCAAGUCGAACGGAAAGGCCCUGCUUUUGUGGGGUGCUCGAGUGGCGAACGGGUGAGUAACACGUGAGUAACCUGCCCUUGACUUUGGGAUAACUUCAGGAAACUGGGGCUAAUACCGGAUAGGAGCUCCUGCUGCAUGGUGGGGGUUGGAAAGUUUCGGCGGUUGGGGAUGGACUCGCGGCUUAUCAGCUUGUUGGUGGGGUAGUGGCUUACCAAGGCUUUGACGGGUAGCCGGCCUGAGAGGGUGACCGGCCAAAAUGGGAAUGAGAUACGGACCAGAGUGGUACGGGAGGCAGCAGUGGGGAAUAUUGCACAAUGGGCGGAAGCCUGAUGCAGCAACGCCGCGUGCGGGAUGACGGCCUUCGGGUUGUAAACCGAUUUCGCCUGUGACGAAGCGUGAGUGACGGUAAUGGGUAAAGAAGCACCGGCUAACUACGUG
rnacentral:rRNA from 1 species